GUCCACGCCGUAAACGAUGAGUGCUGGGUGUCGUGGGUUUUGACCCCCGCGGUGCCGUAGCUAACGCGUUAAGCACUCCGCCUGGGGAGUACGGCCGCAAGGCUAAAACUCAAGGGAAUUGACGGGGGCCCGCACAAGCGGUGGAGCAUGUGGUUUAAUUCGACGCAACGCGCAGAACCUUACCUGGGCUAGAAACUGCCAGAAUCCCUCAGAAACGAGGGGGUGCCCGCAAGGGAACUGGUAUUCAGGUGCUGCAUGGCUGUCGU
rnacentral:rRNA from 1 species